rnacentral:pre_miRNA from 1 species
AUACUCCCUCCUUUUCUUUUUUAUGAGAAACAACUUUUUCAGUAUAAGAAAUACAUUGAAACUUGUUUCUUAUAAAAAGGACCGGAGGUAGUA